UACGAAGGUGGCAAGCGUUACUCGGAAUUACUAGGCGUAAAGGGCCGGUAGGUGGUUUGAUAAGUCUGUUGUGAAAGCUCCCGGCUCAACUGGGAGAGGCCAACAGAAACUAUCAGGCUUGAGUAUGGGAGAGGGUACUGGAAUUCCUGGUGUAGCGGUGAAAUGCGCAGAUAUCAGGAGGAACACCGGUGGCGAAGGCGGGUCUCUGGGCCGAUACUGACGCUGAGGAGCGAAAGCGUGGGGAGCGAACAGG
rnacentral:rRNA from 1 species